GCAGAGUGCCAUAAUUUUAGUUCUUGAUUUUCUUUUUUUCUCACCUAUUUAUACUCAUUUUAUACUCACAUAUAUGUUGUCCUCAUCUAGUCUUGUGUCUUUGAAAACCCUUCAAGGCUGAUAGUUCCCAAACUGGUGUCACUAGCUCAGAAUUUUUUCUCAAAUCACAGAUUCAUCACUCCAUCUCUCUAUGAAUAUCUCCACUUGGGUGAACAGUAAAUAAUAAGAUGUCUCAAACACACACUGUCCACCUGAUAAAACCUUAGGUUUCUUUCUGCUCUUUCUAUGAAGAAUCUUUCUCAUCUCAUUGGAAGAUAACCCUGCAUUUCCAAGUUUGGGGAGAAAGACCUUGGGGUUAUUCUUGAUCUUCUCUUUCAUGCACACUCCACCAUCACAUCUUCAGGAAAUCCCUUUGGCUCUGUUUUUAAGAUAGAUUCAGACUCUAAAGUCUUCUCACUGCCUCCACCAUUACUAUGCUUCCUUUCCUACCUGGCCUCCCUGUUUCUAUUCUUGUUUUUCUACUAUCUGUUCUCAACAAUAGACAGGUUGAUUCUCAUAAAAUGUGAGUUAAUGGUUUCCCUUCUCUCCUAGAAUUCUGCCCGUGGCUGCCUAUUUCAUAAGCGCUGAGGCCAAAGUCCUUACAAGAUCUUACAUUUUCAGGCCCCUGAUUACCUAUUUGGUCUCAUUUCCUACUUAUCUCCCUCUUGUUCACUCAGUUCUAGUCAUUUUGCCUUCCUUGCUUUUCCUUGGACAUGCCAGGAAUUCUCCUAACCUGUGCACUGUCAUUUCCCUCUGAUAAGAACACUCUUCUCUUAAUUAUCAGACUCCUUCAAGUUUUAAUUCAAAUGGCAACUUUCCAAAGAGGCCUAUGCUGGGCACCCUAUUUAAGAUUGCUGCCAGUCUUUCCUCUGUUCCAGCUCUCCCAACCCCUUACCUUGCUCCAUUUUUUUUUUUUGCCUUGCACUUAUAAUCUUGUAAUACUCUCUAUAAUUUACCUAUUUAUUAUGCUUUUGUUUUUUGACAGCCCCCACUUCACCCCACUGCCACUAGAAUCUAACUUCCACAAGGGCAGAAAGUUUAGUCUGUUUUGUUCACUGAUGUAUUCAAGAACCUAAGAAAGUGCCUGGCACAAGAUACAUGCAUGAUACAUAUUUAUUAAGUGAGUAAAUAAAUGAAUCUUCCACUUGAGAAAGUCAAAAUCAUCAUCAAAGAUACUAGAAAUUCCCAUUUCUAAUCACUACAAAUUAGUGACUUUCAUCUUGUUUAUACGAAAAAACAAUCAUUUAUCAUCUAACAGAUCAUGGAAAGAUUCACAAAACAACAAAAUAUGUAGUCUGGCACUAAACUAGUAAACAGCCAGUGUUAUUUUUCCAAUGAACAUCAGAGGACCUUUACCAAAAAUAGAAGGUCUUUGAUGCUGAGAUAUAAAUAAAAGCCAACACUCCAGCUUAAUUAGAUUUCGCAAUUCAGAAUAUGAACAAAUCAAGUCUUUGUAACUAUUUUCGAUGCUUAUUAAAAUACAUUAUUCAUAUUAACAUCAUAAAUCAUACUUGGAAUGUAUUCUUGAUUUGCUUUAUUAGUCCUGUGGUUGCAUAAAUGUAACUAUUGAUUGCUUUUAUAUUAUCUGAAAAUUGCUUAAACUUGUAGCUUCUAAGCUAAUGUUUCUCAAAAUGUGUUCUAAGAAACACAUUUUGGACUCCACGUUUCAUGAAAAUGUGGAGUCCAAGCUCAGGUGAGUUGGAAAGACACUGACUGAAACAGGUUUCUUUACUAUGGGGCUACAUUGUGAAUUUCAAUUUUUAAAUUUGAUGGGCAGCACUUCCUAAAGUUACUUGAUCACAGAACCUUUAGUCAAGGAUCAUUUUAACUUUGGGAAAUGAUGUUACACACAAGUAAUGUAUCAAGUACCAGAUAUUUGGUCAAAUUUGUGAUGGUGUUAUCUCUUCACAAAAGAUUACUUAGUGAUAGCGAUUUGUAGAAUAUUGGUUAUACAAGUAGAAAAGUUUGCAGAUGUCUGGAUAGAAGAUAUCCAAAACCUAGGUGGAAAAAUAAACAUUUAUAAUAUACUAACAUAGAGGGCAUGGAGGUGUCAUGAUAGUGAAAACUAGAAGGAAAUGGUAAAUACAGAAGGAAUAAAAGUUGAGAAAAGGAUGGAGAGAGAGUUAAAAAAAAGACCAUAAUUGAUGCUUUUCUUUCCUGUUAAUGCAGCCAGAAUCCAGAUUUGGGACCAAAAAAAAAGGAGAAAGCUCUAUGGAGAGCUCUGAGCCUGUGUCUUAGUGAAAAUGACAAGAGUGGAGGCCCUAGCUCUAGUCUUCACUCUUUUUCUUCCUACAUUUGUAUGAAAGUGAUCAAGAGUAAGCAAAAUGUGCAUUUCAUACAAUAUGGUUGCUUUUUUUUUUUUUUUUUCCUAAGAAAAGAGCAAAUAGCCUCAGGAAAUCAGAUUCUUGUGACCUUUGUUACUCUUUAUCACUAAAGUAGUGUUCAUUCUCAGACUCUAAAGGACAUCUGAUUAGUAACACAUGGGUGACAUCAUUGAAAAAGCAUAAUCUGUGUGUCAUGAAAUGUUACUUGAAAAUAGUAGUGGGAAAAAGUUUUGUCAUUUGGGGAAGGAUGUCAAGAAAACAUCUCAGUCAGUUAUUUGUUGGAUUUAUUGGUGAAAAAAAGCACACAUUUUUACUGAUUUGACUUUGGCUCAAUAUUGAACAAUUCGGGGCUACAAAACUGCACAUUGAGAUAUCGCUUAGCAUUUGAAAAUGACUAUGCUGCUAAAUGGCCUAUAAAGAAUUAUAUACAUUUGAUAUUUAAUAGGUUCAACAAAUAUACCCCCUGUUCCUGAGGAUGAUCCAUUUUAAGCAGAGCUGAGGGUGGCACAUUGCUCUUGAUGCAGAACCCGGGGGGCACCUCUGAGCUGGCAGAGAAGCUCAGAAGCCUUCCGUUUUCUAUGACUUCAUCCUAAGAUUUAAUCUAGUUAAUCAAGGCAUCUUUUGGACUUGUAUAUCACUUCAAGGAGACAAUAGCCUUACAGAGCUUUCCACCAUACAGACUUAAUACAUGCUGCAGAGAAACUGCAGAACAAUUUAUUAUAUGUGAUAUCUUUAUUUUUAACAUUUUUUUUGUCUUUUUAGGGCUGCACCCAAGGCAUAUGGAAAUUCCCAGGCAAGGGUUGAAUCAGAGGUGUAGCUGCCAGCCUAUUCUACAGCCACAGCCACACGGGAUCCAAGUCACAUCUAUGACCUACGCUCACAGCAAUGCCGGAUCCUCAACCCACUGAGCGAGGCCAGGGAUCAAACCCACAUCCUCAUGGAUACUAGUCUGGUUCAUUACUGCUGAGCCAUGACAGGAACCGUGAUAUCUUUGAAAUAUCAAGAAGGUUGGGGAUUUGUAUUUAAGAAACUGAGGAUUGGUUCUUACAAUGAAUCCAUCAUCACUACUUGGAGGAAUCCCAUGUUACAAAGAAUGGAUCCUGCAGGUUUUUUCUUUGUGCUGAAAUCUGCCACGGGCAGGGGAGAAACAAGCUCUGGUCAACAUUCCAAUGAUGAUGGGCCUGGGAAACGGUCCCUCUGAAACUGGAUAAGAACCCAGUGAUUAAUAGUACUUGAUGUUUUAAACAGUUAUGGUAAUUUAAAUGGCUGAUGUCAACAUUGCUACUAUCAGCAGCAACCUAAUGCUUCAAGUUUCGUUAAAAAUCAUGUAUUUGAAUUCACAUUUUCAUGUUGACUUGCUCAGCAAAUAGAGCACAGAAGUUACGGAUCCAGAUGGUGGAUGCCAUCAUGGCCUUGGAUGCACUGCCUGGAACCCCUUCAUAAAUGAAGAACUUAUUCUCUCGGCCACCAGGAUGCUGCUGGAAGAGGGCUCUUCUUUGUGGCUGUCUUAGCUCGAGACCACUGCCCUCCUUGGAGUAUAUAUCUCCUUCUAAUGACUGAUCGGCAUGGGAUGGAGGGACCUGGCUUUCUUGUCCUAACUCAGAACUAGGGAGUUGGAAGGGAUGCAAUUGGAAAAUUGGUGACAAUGACAUCUGGGGAAAAUAUGUGGAUAAAUCUCUACAAAUGGUCCCAGAGUAUAUGAGAGCUGUGUCUCUUGUGACCUCAGCAGAACUGGAUGAUAGGAUUUGUUUUGUUGAUAUGGGUCUCCCUUCCCCAGGUACCUCAUCUUGCCCAAGUGGCCAUGGUGGCAGGGAUCAAGGGCGCACAUGGGCUCAGCAAAAUAGAUGUCUGCUCACCGAGGCUAGAUGGCUGCAGCUCCUGCUGAAUGCUCCAUCUGCCAGCGCAGAGACCAGCGCAGAGCCUGCAAUGGGACACACUUCCCCAGGGGAUCGGCCAACCACGUGGUGGCAGGAUAAUUAAGCUGCAGCACUUCCAUCGAGGAAGGGGCUGCAUUUCAUUCUUGCUGGAAUAGAUUAUCACACUGGGUGUGGACUUGCUUCUCUUGCCUCCAAUGCUUCUGGAAAACCCACCAUUUGUGAACUCAUAGUCUGCCUUACCCACUGUCAUAGCAUCUGACACAUUAGCACUUCCCAGCAAGGAACAAAUUAUACUUAUAUGGAGCCAGGGGGUCCAUGCCCAUGGACUUCUCUGGUCUUAACUGUGUUCACCACCAUCAUGAAGCAGCUUGCUUGUAAAAUGUUGGAGUAGCCUUUGAUACAGUGAGUUAUGGUAUCAAUUAGGUGACAAUGCCACAUGGGGUGGGACAGUGUUCUCCCGGAGGCAAAAUAUGAUCUCACUUGGCAUCCAAUACACAGUGCUAUUCCUCCCAUAGUCACCCAUCUGGGAAUGAAGGGGUGAAAACAGGAGUGUCUUUGCUCAUUACAACCCCACAAUAUCCACUACUGAAAGUUAUACUUCCUGUCACUGCUACUUAAGGCUCUGCUGGUCUAGAGGCCUUAACUUCCAAAGGGAAGAAUGAUUUCUCAGGGGAACCCCAAAAUAGUUCUACUGAACUGGAAGUGAAUAUUGUCACUUGGUUUAGAAGGAUUUUUAAAAUUCCAAAUUUAUCUUCUUUUCUAGAAUUGUCUUCCAUCUCUUUGACUUCUAACCAAUGUUUAUUUUCUGUAGCUAUACUUAUAUUUACUUACAGAGAAAGAGAACAUAAGAGUAGCACACUCCUUCUUUGUCAGCUAUCAAGAGGAGAGGGACAUUAUUUUGUAACUCAAAGCAGUAGCAACAAAGCAGGAAAAGCUCAGGCUUUGAGCCAGAUGGGCAGCUGUGUUCAAAUCCCAGCUCCUUGAUCUACUAAAUUACUUAAUUUUUCUGAGACUUAGUUUUCUCAUCUGUCAAACAGGGAUAAUGAUACCUGUUAUAUAUCCAUGUGGUGAGUGUGAAAUAAUUAAAGCAGAAGCAAAGCACAUCUUGGACUCAGCCUAGUGCCUACUUGGUCAUCAGGAGGGACAGUGUUGGUUUACGCUUCCUGUCUUGCAAUCAUUAUCAUAAUGAUAUUAAUUAGGAUUUAUAACUCUGUUAAUGAUUAUAAUAAUUACUAAUAGCACACCAUUUCAAUCUCAGAAGUUAAGAUGAUGAAUUAGAUGUUCACUCUAAUCAUUGUCAAAUGUUGGUUUGCAUUUGCCACUCUUUUAUUGCUUAUUGUUGAGAAGAUUGCCAUAAAGUAGGUAGAAUUCAGAAGUAGUGUUUACCUAUGACUUGUAAACUCAGGUUUUGUUUUAUUUUAUUAUCAUUAUUAUUUUUUUGCUGCACCUGCGACAGAUCGAAGUUCCUGGGCCAGAGAUUGAAUCUGAGUUGCAGCUGCAACCUAUGCCACAGCUGUGGCAAUGCCAGUUCAUUAACUCAAUGGACCACAGUGGGAACUCCCUAAACUUAGAUUUUAAAUGAUUGCUGGAACUCCAAGUUUUAUUCUGAAUAAAAGAGAGCGUAGGUGUUGAAAUUUGACCAAUGAUGAAAACUGAUUACCUUAUUCCAAGGGUUGGCUUUAUUCAAGGGGAUGAUAAAACUGAUACCUUCCAUUUCAAUAGAGUCCUUGAAGAAAUCUUAUGAUAAGUCACAUUUAAACUUUAUGAUGUGAAAGGCUAAAAAAAUGUUCAGGAGAAUCAUUGCUGCCUCCCAUUUUUAAUCACUUUUUAAACUGGGAUUUCUUGUGCAUUUUUGCACACAAGGAAUUCUAGUGGGUAGGGUCCUCAGUGGCUUUCUUGGCAUGUUCACCAGAGGUGAGAAGUAGGCUCAUGCCCCUCCAUAGCCUCUGAGGAUGCGUUUCUUAUCCUUUCUUUGCUGGACAAUUUAGAGAAGAAUGAUCUGUCAGAGUAUUUAUAGAAGCCAUUAGCACGAUGAGUGAAGGCUUCGGAUAACUGAUGGCUCUUUAAAAAUAUGGCCUUAAGAAGAGGAAAGAGAAACUUGUAGGGUGUCUUCCAAAUAGCAGAUUGCUAUAUUUGGGUGGUCUGAGGAUUAUGACAAAUGUCAAGGACCACACACCGCACAAAAACAGCUCAUUAUAGCUGCACACGCAGAAUGCCAUGUUCAAGGUUGAGUGGCUGAUUUUGCUGCAAACACUAAUUUCCAGAUUAUACAAUUUGAAAUUUUUAAUUAGCCAUGAAUCCUUGUAGGGAUAACUUUGCUAUGCCUCUUUAUGUGUUGUAAAAAUAAGUCAGACUCUGCUUCAGCCACCCAAGACCUCCAAUAAAGGUUUCUGUGUGAUAGUGAUAGUUUCCUCUUCAAAUGCUAAUUUUGAAAAUUCAUAUUUCAGAAGAAUUAGUGGCUCAAUUCUGUGGUCAUUCUGCAUUUCUAAAUGUCAUUAAAAUUAAUGAAUUCUGAAAAUGAAAAGAAUAAAGCUGGUCUUUUCAGUUUGACUGAAAUGUUCCUAUUGAAUAACAUCAGAUCCAGUAAAUCACUUAAAUCUGUUGGUGAUACACACCUUUUAAAUGACUGUUGGAUUCAUGCACAAUACUUUUAUUGUUGAGGAUGUGGUGUGAACAGUAUGGAGGACAAAAUAAUAAAGAUUCAUUGAGUGUCCUGAGCUAUUUAGACUCAAUAUGCAUCAUAUUGAGAGAAUGCAAAAAUUCAAUGAAAUGCCAAAACCACCAUCGUUGGUAAUGGAGGCAUUCCAGAAAAGAUUGCAUUCUUAGGGAUGUCGCCAAAAGAUAUUUUAGUGUGUGUUUGUACACAAAAAUAUGAAUAAAUAUAUAUGGAAAAAUAGAAAGCAUAUACUAUAUAUGGAUAUAUAUUUAUAUUUGUAUAUAUAUAUUUAUAUUUGUGUGUAUAUAUAUAUAUUUAGAAUGUUACAACGGACCAGAUAAUAUAAUUCUAUGUAUUAAAUGCAGGGUUACAGAUGGACUA
rnacentral:lncRNA from 1 species